rnacentral:miRNA from 1 species
UCACCGGGAGUAAUUGGCUUG